GACGAACGCUGGCGGCGGGCUUAACACAUGCAAGUCGAACGGCAAGGCACUGCGUUCGUGGGGUGAUCGGGGGGCGAACGGGGGAGGAAGACGUGAAUAACCUGACCUAGACUUUGGGAGGAGUUCAGGAAAGUGGGGCUAAUACAGUAUAGCAGCUCCUGCUGCAGGGAGGGGGUGGGAAAGUUUCGGCGGGUGGGGAUGGACGAGCGGCUGAUGGGCUAGUUGGUUGGGGAGGGGCUUACCAAGGCAUGGACGGGUAGCCAGCCUGUGAGGGUGAACGGCCACAUUGGGCCUGAGGUACGGCCCAGACUCCUACGGGAGGCAGUAGGGGGGAAUAUUGCACAAUGGGAGGACGCCUGAUGCAGCAACGCCGCGUGUGGGAUGACGGCCUUCGGGUAGUAAACCGCUUUCGCUUGUGACGAAGCGUGAGUGACGGUAAUGGGUAAAGAAGCACCGGCUAACUACGUG
rnacentral:rRNA from 1 species